GAGCUUGCUCCCGGAUGUUAGCGGCGGACGGGUGAGUAACACGUGGGUAACCUGCCUGUAAGACUGGGAUAACUCCGGGAAACCGGAGCUAAUACCGGAUAGUUCCUUGAACCGCAUGGUUCAAGGAUGAAAGACGGUUUCGGCUGUCACUUACAGAUGGACCCGCGGCGCAUUAGCUAGUUGGUGAGGUAACGGCUCACCAAGGCGACGAUGCGUACCCGACCUGAGAGGGUGAUCGGCCACACUGGGACUGAGACACGGCCCAGACUCCUACGGGAGGCAGCAGUAGGGAAUCUUCCGCAAUGGACGAAAGUCUGACGGAGCAACGCCGCGUGAGUGAUGAAGGUUUUCGGAUCGUAAAGCUCUGUUGUUAGGGAAGAACAAGUGCAAGAGUAACUGCUUGCACCAUGACGGUACCUAACCAGAAAGCCACGGCUAACUACGUGCCAGCAGCCGCGGUAAUACGUAGGUGGCAAGCGUUGUCCGGAAUUAUUGGGCGUAAAGGGCUCGCAGGCGGUUUCUUAAGUCUGAUGUGAAAGCCCCCGGCUCAACCGGGGAGGGUCAUUGGAAACUGGGAAACUUGAGUGCAGAAGAGGAGAGUGGAAUUCCACGUGUAGCGGUGAAAUGCGUAGAGAUGUGGAGGAACACCAGUGGCGAAGGCGACUCUCUGGUCUGUAACUGACGCUGAGGAGCGAAAGCGUGGGGAGCGAACAGGAUUAUAUACCCUGGUAGUCCACGCCGUAAACGAUGAGUGCUA
rnacentral:rRNA from 1 species